UUGAAUUGAAUUAAUAAUGGGUGCUGUUUUUUGUGUGCUUUGUAUAUUCUGGUUUAUUUGGGUGGAUGUAUUGUUUUGGGAGGUGGUUUGAUUUAUUUACUUGUUUUAAUCAUCUUCUCAUCUCUUUGAGGUCACCUGGUUAUAUGUUGCCAUGGAAGCGCGCCCAUGAGCAGUGCUGACAAGGACCUGGUGUUUCCAAUCAGCCUCAUUGGGGAAAACCCAUUUUCUGAGAGGGAGCAGAGAUGUAUUUUGGAUUUUGUUUGGGCCCAGAUUGUUUUUGUUUCUAGUUUUGCUUGAGUUAAUUGUAACUGUGUAGACAUUUUUUUUUGUAGGAAUAGUUUAGUGCAAAUGUUUUUCUUUCUGAAAAUGUGAUUGUCUCCACCCCUCUAAUUAGUCCUGGUGGGAGCCAAUCCUUUAAAAGCCAGGUUGUUCAGGUGAGGGAGAGAUUCUCCCUCUUCUUGUUGUGACCUGAUAUGCCAUGCUGUGUACUGAACUGAACUAAAGAUAAGAGAAAAGUAUUGAGUACUCUAC